rnacentral:rRNA from 1 species
AUUGAACGCUGGCGGCAUGCCUUACACAUGCAAGUCGAACGGUAACAGGUCUUCGGAUGCUGACGAGUGGCGAACGGGUGAGUAAUACAUCGGAACGUGCCUAGUAGUGGGGGAUAACUACUCGAAAGAGUGGCUAAUACCGCAUGAGAUCUACGGAUGAAAGAAGGGGAUCGCAAGACCUUGUGCUACUAGAGCGGCCGAUGGCAGAUUAGGUAGUUGGUGGGAUAAAAGCUUACCAAGCCGACGAUCUGUAGCUGGUCUGAGAGGACGAUCAGCCACACUGGGACUGAGACACAGCCCAGACUCCUACGGGAGGCAGCAGUGGGGAAUUUUGGACAAUGGGCGCAAGCCUGAUCCAGCAAUGCCGCGUGCAGGAUGAAGGCCUUCGGGUUGUAAACUGCUUUUGUACGGAACGAAAAGCCCUGGGUUAAUACCCUGGGGUCAUGACGGUACCGUAAGAAUAAGCACCGGCUAACUACGUGCCAGCCGCCGCGGUAACAC